GGGUUGGCGGCGAGUGGCGGACGGGUGAGGAAUACAUCGGAAUCUACCCUGUCGUGGGGGAUAACUAACCGAAAGGUUAGCUAAUACCGCAUACGACCGAGAGGUGAAAGCGGAGGACCGCAAGGCUUCGCGCGAUUGGAUGAGCCGAUGUCGGAUUAGCUAGUUGGCGGGGUAAGAGCCCACCAAGGCGACGAUCCGUAGCUGGUCUGAGAGGAUGAUCAGCCACACUGGGACUGAGACACGGCCCAGACUCCUACGGGAGGCAGCAGUGGGGAAUAUUGGACAAUGGGCGCAAGCCUGAUCCAGCAAUGCCGCGUGUGUGAAGAAGGCCUUCGGGUUGUAAAGCACUUUUAUCGGGAGCGAAAAGCGCGUGGUUAAUACCCAUGCGUCAUGACGGUACCCGAUGAAUAAGCACCGGCUAACUUCGUGCCAGCAGCCGCGGUAAUACGAAGGGUGCAAGCGUUA
rnacentral:rRNA from 1 species